rnacentral:lncRNA from 1 species
CUUGAUUUCGUGUCUUCAAUUUCGAGGUUAGUACUUUUCCUCGAUGUUAUCAUCCAUUAGAAACUAUUGAGUUUUCUUUUUCAGCCUUUUUAUAACUUUGUAGUUGCCUAUCUCUGCAACUAUAAUCUUCUGCACAUUCUACUACUAAUAAAUAAUGGAGUCUUACCCUUCUUUUCAUCAAAAAAAAAGAAAGAAACCUAUUCCAUCUUCUUUCAUCUUCCAAAAUCUGACCCUCAUAUUUUCUACCAUAUCAUGGUCAAUAGUAGCAGGCUAAUGGGAUAGAGGA